UACGUAGGGUGCGAGCGUUGUCCGGAAUUAUUGGGCGUAAAGAGCUCGUAGGCGGCUUGUCACGUCGGUUGUGAAAGCCCCGGGGCUUAACCCCGGGUCUGCAGUCGAUACGGGCAGGCUAGAGUUCGGUAGGGGAGAUCGAAUUCCUGGUGUAGCGGUGAAAUGCGCAGAUAUCAGGAGGAACACCGGUGGCGAAGGCGGAUCUCUGGGCCGAUACUGACGCUGAGGAGCGAAAGCGUGGGGAGCGAACAGG
rnacentral:rRNA from 1 species